GGAGUAAUGCUUAUAAGAUACGUUUGUCGCAUGGCAUUUGUAUUAAACGCUCCGGCGCCAUAGGAUGGACCCGCGUCCCAUUAGCUAGUUGGUGAGAUAACAGCUCACCAAGGCCACGAUGGGUAACCGGUCUGAGAGGGCGAACGGUCACACUGGAACUGAGACACGGUCCAGACUCCUACGGGAGGCAGCAGUGGGGAAUAUUGCGCAAUGGGGGCAACCCUGACGCAGCAAUACCGCGUGAGUGAAGAAGGUUUUCGGAUCGUAAAGCUCUGUUAUUGGGGAAGAAAAAAAGACGGUACCCAAGAAGAAAGUUCCGGCUAACUACGUGCCAGCAGCCGCGGUAAUACGUAGGGAACAAGCGUUGUCCGGAUUUACUGGGCGUAAAGGGCACGCAGGCGGUUUUUUAAGUCAGAUGUGAAAGGCCACAGCUCAACUGUGGACAUGCAUUUGAAACUGAAAGACUUGAGUAUUGGAGAGGCAAGUGGAAUUCCUAGUGUAGCGGUGAAAUGCGUAGAUAUUAGGAGGAACACCGGUGGCGAAGGCGGCUUGCUGGAC
rnacentral:rRNA from 1 species